rnacentral:tRNA from 1 species
AGUUUUAUAGUCAAUAGAGUAUAUGAUAUUAAAUUGCAAAUUUAAAGUAGUAAAAUUUAUACUAAAGCUU